rnacentral:tRNA from 1 species
GAGGGUGAAGCUCAGUGGUAGAGCACGUGCUUAGCAUGUACAAGACCCUGGGUUCAGUCCCCAGUACCUCCA